UGUCUCCCUCGGGGUGGAUACCUCCUGACCCUGUCCACGGCCACCUUGGGUUAGGAAGUGGAAUGCCCAGAACCAAGCAAGGUUUAGGUCUUAAUUUGGUUGUUGCCAUAUCAGAAUCAGGGCCUCAGAAAAGUAAACUGUGGGGCUUAAACCUUCUUUACGGUAAGUGUUACUCUUUGGUGAACCCACCGCAAAGCUUCGCCCAAGUGCCUCGAACCCAGCCUGGCUUGCCACGAAGAACGUGGCUGUCCGCCGCCCUCAGAUUGUGCUCAAGAGGUAAUGGGAGAGGGAAUUGCGGGCCUAGAGUCUGGGGAAGUGUAAAGGGUUCAGCCUGUGGCCAACGUCUUCCUUCACCUUUCGCAGGCCUGAGGACUGCUUUUAUUUAUAAAUCUCUGGGAACUGAGAUAAAAUUUGGGCAAGAGAAUAAAACAUACUUCGAAAUUUAGAUCGAAGUGAAAUCACCAAAAACGCUCAAAGAAUACUCUUAUUGAGAUUUGCUGCACUGAAUGUGAGCUCCUGCCUGAUCAAACAUCCUCGCAAACCUUAGGGCAAAACCUGCACUGGGCAAAACCUCAA
rnacentral:lncRNA from 1 species